CCCCUCCCAUGUUUGUUCACAGAUUCAGCAAUUUGUCUUUUACUUUGGAGGUAAUGGCCAGUGGACUCCUAAAUAUUUCACUGUACUAGCAGGUCCUGAGUCUUUGUAGAGUUCAUCUUCCACCCUUUGGAGCAUGUAUCUAACCAAGGCUUCUAGCAUACUGGCCACCUCUUCCUCUUUUGUCCAGUCAUCAUGAUUUUAUUGAUGUGAUGAAUCAGGGUGGUGUUCUGAGGGACUCAUAGGUGAUUCAGACCUUUUCAGACAAAAUUAUGGCAAAGGGUAAGAGUGUUACCAUAGCCCCAAGACAAAAUCGGAGAUCAAUAUUAUUGUCUAUUUCAUCUGAAUUCAAACCUUUUCUGAUCUUCUUUCCUAAUUGGAAUGGAAAAGAAUAUGUUGUCCAAAUCAAUGGCUAAAAACUAGGUACCUGAAGUUUUAUUAAUCUGCUUAGCACAGUAUCACAUCUGGCACAGUAACUAUAAUCAUCAGGUUUACUACUUGAUUAAGUCUGUAAUAGUACACAGUUAUUCUCCAGGACCCAGCUGGUUUCUGCACGGACCACAUUGGUCAUCAUGAGUGAAGUCUUGAGCCACUGAGCCACUACCACCUUGUGCCAAAUACUAUCUGUGCCCUGCCUGCCAACCAGGAUGACAACCCUUCACCUGCCAGGUGGAGAGAGACAGCAGCAGGCUAACUAGUUGUCUGUUAAGAACAUCCAGAGCAGGACCAGAAUCUGGGCCAGGAACUGAGAGACAGAUUGGGACAACGGAACAAAUCUACCAGGGUAUGCUGGCCAACUUAGUCUUCUAUUAUGAUCAAGGAAGGAUGGCGCCUGAGAGGUCAUUACUAUGUGACUGGUCUUCAUAUAUUGCUUCUAUGUUUGAUUCUUCCUCCAGAAAUGUUUCAAUAGCAAACUCAAUGAGUUUACGUAGCCAGAAUCUUAGUCAAUAACCUACUCUGCAGUAUCUUAGGGCUGACUUUGUACAUAUGGAAGUCAGCCAGAUCUCAUGAGUGGAUCAUUAAGCUAGAAUUAUUUUCUUGGCACACGUUACAGUAAGGUAAUAUAUGACCUAGGCCUAAGGCAGGCCAUCAACCUGUCAAGAGUAAUGACCCCCAGGGGUAAGGCCUUGCUGUCUCCACCUCAAGGAUGGGUCUUCAAAGUGGAGACAAUAUAGUCCCUAUGGUUUCUACAUGCUUAAUGAGUCUGUUAUGUGAAUUAUAAAGAUAAUAUCUAUGGGGACUUUGAGCUCCUACAAUAAAAAUGUAUAAAUAUAAUCCAAGAAAUUCUGGUAGACAAACAUUGUAAUAAUGCAUAUCAGUCUUUGUAUCUCCAUUUAGUUUUUUUAAAACUUGGCUUGUGUCCAGAAGUAUGCACAGAUAUACAUAGCAAAUGCUCAGUGCUGAAUGUUUAGCUAAAUCCUGUGCUUCAAAGCAAGGAUGAAUAGAUUUUCAUCAGAGCUCAGGACCUGAACUGUAGGCUUCCCUCACAAUGAGAAGUAAAGCUAAGUAUAGGUGAAUCCUGAGUGGCACAUAUUCUAUGAGAGUUUUAUACAUAAUUUGAAUGAUUGAUAUGCUGCAUCUUUCAUUGAAAUGAUUGUCAACCAAUAUUAUUUCAAGUGUUAUUUCCAUGCUAUUUCUAGUUCUGUAUGUUUUACGUAAUUAUAAAUGGCUUCAUAUUUUCAUGUAACAUUGUAUGAUAUGAUUUGGGUUCUAACAGGUUAUCCUUGACACCAGUAUAGAAUACCCAGAAUUAAUUUAAGGUAUAUUAUCAAACCACUAAAAUUAGGAUGUCCAUGAAUUCUGAAGGAGAAAAUAUCAUUUAGAUUGUGUGUGUGUGUGUGUGUGUGUGCGCGUGUGUGUGUGUCCUCUAAGUUUUAAACAUGAGGUGGUUAUAUAAAGGGGACUUCUAAAUUGGGAGAGGAUGAAAAUGGGCUAAAUAUUUCAAACAAACUUCAGUGUGAAAUCAGUAGUAUAUUCAGUAGAGGUGACAGGGAAAAAAGCUGUGGAGGAGAAAAGAGAACAAGAAAAUCAGGAAGCAGUAAAAAUGAUGACUGAGGUCAGGUGGUAAUGGUAACAUCAAGAAACUUGAAUCUGAUGGAAAAAAACCACGGGUAGCUAUAAAAGGGGCAUUCGAAAUAGGAAAUGAUGUGAGAGGAGAAGAUAAUUUUAGUAUAGUUAAAGGAGGUAGCAGCUAUAGGUGUGAAGAGAACGGAUUAAUUUUAAAUGUGUCCCAGAAGUAAGAGAAAUAUUUUUUUGAGGAGUGGGGGAGGAACAAUGAGAUAAACCUGGUUGAGUGUUUUAUGGUUAUCUCAAGUAAGAGUCCACUUGGAGUAUUAUGUCCAUUUUUGGACACCAUACUUUCAUAGGCAUGUUGAUGAACCAGGUCAUUCAAGACACCAGGGUAGUGAGAAGUGUGUUAAUAGUGCUUCUACCAGAGAGUUAGAGUGACAUGGCAGCUGUCCUCAUAUCUAUCGAUCUGUCAUAAGGAAGAAAGAUCACAUGCCUCUGCAUUGUUUAAAAGAAAGAAACAGACCCAAAGAAAGUCAGGAGGCAGAUUUUGCUCAAUAUAAUGAUCUAACAAUUAGAUGUGCCCUGUAACAGAGUGCGCUAUUGUAAAGUAAUGUUCUCCCAUCUUUCCAAGUAUUCAAGCAGAGAAUAGUCAAUAAUACAACUAACGACUGGAAGGGUUUCUUUUAUUCUAAGGUACUAUCAGAUGGAGGAACAUGUAGUUUGUGGUCAGUGACCUCAGGUUCUCACAUUCACGGUGCUGCAUCCUGGUUUUCAUUUGGGGACUGUUUUCUGGCACUCCCGCCUGUCUGGAGGUGAGAUAUGCUUGUUAUGACAACCCUUCUGUCACAAUAAAUUGGCUGGUGCAUUCAGUGUCAUCUAUGGCUUUUUACUUCUAUUAAUUCAUUAAUUCCGGGCCCCCAAGCGAAAGUUUCCAAAGGCCUUUUUUCUUCUUUGUUAAUUAUAACAUGAUAUCAAUCAGCACCCAAGCAGAAACUAGAAGAGUAUUCAAACUAGGUAAUUUGAGGAGAGUUUAAUAAAGCAACAGCUUACAAAGAUGUGGACAGUGGCUUAAGGAAGCCACUAAAGGAUGGCACAGUCCUCCAGGCUUGUGAUCAGGGGAGUCAUUACCAUCCCCCAGCCUGAAGAUCAAGAGGCUGGAGCUAUUUCCAGACCCUGAAGAGGGUGGUUGUAUGGAGAGGACUAUCUGAAAGAAGAGGCUGUAGCCAACACAAGAAAGCCAGGGAAUAAAUAAUCCAUCCUCACUCUCCUGCUGUUGCCUCUCAAUGGCCAAACCCAACCAUGAGCUGGGCAUGAAGGGAGCUAGCUGACAGCUAUAUGGCUCAGCUUCCUGGGGCCCAGAGCAGAGUGGAGCUGAGAAGAGAGUGAAUCUGGAGGGGUUAAUGGAAGAAACCACAGAAAGCAAAUUCCUCCCUGAGAUACAGUUGGUGCUUAGGCAAUAUUUGUACUGACAGGAAUGUGGCCACAUAUUUUGGAAAAGCUCAGGGACUCAAUCCUCUGCUAGCUGCUUUGAGGCCAUGUCUGCCGAAGUCACUGUCCUCUACAGGGUUUUUUCCUCAUGUUCAGUGUUUAGUCCUUUCCACCUUCACGAAAACGAUGCCUACUUAAUAUACAGAAAGGAGGACAUACAGAAAUUUUUCAUCUUAAUUGGAUAUUACAGUUGCCCCACUUUGGAGCCAAGAAGAGCUGAAUAAAGCUGAGAAACACCUAAACAGAAAGGAGCUCUGGAGGGAAGCAUUAGAUAUGGCUCUUAACCUCAGGGGGCUUACAGUCCAAUCAGGAGACCCAAUGCAAAUGGAACAAUGAAUCAAGAUACUAUCUAACAGGACUAGACCAUGCCACCCAGUCAUUGGAACUUGGAUGUAAGUGGCUUCUACAACCAAGUGAGGCAGAGAAAUGGGCAGCAGUGAUGACUCUAUAAAGACUUUUGUCCUUUCAUUCAUUCAAGGUGGUGUACAACCCAAAGAUGAACACAUGACCCUUGUCCUCAAGCAGCUCAAUCUGUGAAAACUAUCAUAUGAGUUAAUGUGGUAACAGAAGCAUGCGCACAAAGUACUCUGGAACAACAGGCAGGGACCAUUUAGACCUGCUGCAGUGUGUGUGUCUGUGUCUGUUUAUCUAUGUAUUAUAUGCAGGCAGAUUGUGAAAAAAGACAAGUUUCACAGAGGAGAUGAUACAUGAUCUUUUCUAAUUCACUGAAGCAUACAGCUAUCAAAGGCCUGAGGACUCUUGAAAGAUGAGCAAAAUUUCAUCAUGCAGAGAAGGGAAGUGUAAAGACAGGAAACAGCAUGUGAAAGGCAUUCUAUUCUAUUUAAAUCUAGGAAUACUGUCUUUAGGAUGUUCUUGGCUGAUUAAAUCAGAUGCAUCAUCAUAUUAUACUAUCAUGAUUUACCAAUACUGGUUAUUGCCUAGAUUUUAUCCAUGGACUCUCCAUUGGCAUCAUUAGUGAUGAGAGCUGGAAGCUUGAGCACACCCUGCCAUAAAGUUGUUUGUAACAGAAGACAUAGUUUGUACUUUGUUUUCUCUGUUUCAGUUUUGGUUUCCACCUCUAAUUUGAUAUAUACCAGUUAUUAAUCUGGUUGAUUUGCUACAAAUGAAAAGUUUAAAAAAUUAAUGACAAUCUAUACAAAACUCACAUAAAACCAUUUGAGUCUCCCACUAGAUGGCACAGGAAGAAUAUGGCAUAUCACCUAAUUCUCAGGCUAGGCUAGAUAGAAAAUGUCUAUUCCUAUGAUCACAUGACUCUGACUACUUUCUCUUAAAAGUAAAUAUAAAUAACAUCUCUGUAAUUUUAUUUUUUCUUUAACAAUAAUUUAUCUUAAAGUAGACAGAAAAAUGCAUGUGGUUUAAAAUUCAUAGUAAAUAGGAGAAUAUUAUAAAAGUUUCUUAAGGCCAGGUGCAGUGGCUCAUGCCUGUAAUCUCAGCACUUUGGGGGUCCGAGGCAGGCGGACCAUGAGGUCAGGAGAUUGAGACCAUCCUGGGCAACAUGGUGAAACCUUGUCUCUACUAAAACUACAAAAAUUAGCUGGGCGUGGUAUGCUCCUGUAGUCCCAGCUACUUGGGAGGCUGAGGGAGGAGAAUCGCUUGAACCCGGGAGGUGGAGGUUGCAGUGAGCCGAGGUCGUGCCACUGCACUCCAGCCUGGCAACAGAGUGAGACUCUGUCUCAAAAAAAAAAGUUUCUCAAACCAUUUUUAACAGAUUAAAACAAUUCUUUUUUUAUCAAACUAUUUUUUUCAUUAAUUCUUAGUAGUCAAUAGUUCUGUUAUUGUGACCCUGGAAGACAAGGCACUGUCAUCUGUCUCCUACAGAUUUUAGAGCAAUUAAAAGUGAAGCAAUCCAUAUUCAUUGAUUAAGAGGGAACUAUCAUGUAACCUGGGUAAGUCAGUCCAUAUCACUUUAAGAACGCUAAACAGUAUUGCUCAAGGUUAAAAAAAAAAAAAAAGGAGAGAGAGAGAGAUCUAACACCAUUCUUUAACGCCUGGCCACUAAACUAAUGACCAUCAAUGACAGAACCUGCUUAAUCCCCAUAUAAUUAUCCAAUAUAUUGAAUCCUAAUUUUUUUUGCUCUUCACCCCAACCUUGCCCAAGUGCCAGUGUAGCUCUACUUUAAGAAUAUCAAUAGAAUGUGAUUUUUCACAAGCUGCCAUAAGUAAAUGGUGGUAAGCCAGAGUUAUAAUCUGAAAAUGCAGCUAGUUUUUUGGGGGGCACAUUAGGACUCAAACUUCCUAAAACUCCUACUCCUGAGUUACCUGGAGAAAAGCUACAGCAGAUGGGCAUCCAGUGCUUGGAAGGGCUGCUUGGUCCUCAAUACAGGGCCCAGUAAAUAUAUCUUUCAAUUAAACUCCAACCUUUGAUGUAACUGGUAUCGUGGUGCCACAAGGAUUCUGUUCAAUAUAUAUUUACUGAAUACCUUCUUUGUGCAACACUCUGUGCUGGACCCUGGGCUAGCUUAAACAACCUGAUUUGAUUCAUGGUGGGCAGCAGAUAAGAAGGCAGAAUUAGUUCACCCUCAUAAUGGUCUUUUACUGCAGCAAUGGCCAAUAAACCACCGAGUUUGCAACACCAGAACCCUAAGGGCACACUUAGCUUGAAUCAGAGUGUCUCCUGGCAAUCAUAACUGAUAUUCAAUCAGAGUUCCCACUGAGUAUAGAUGUACUACUUGACUCCAUUCCAAUAAGUGCAGCAAGCUGGAGCAGAAAAACUAAUCUUUGCUGGGUCUCUCAACGCAUGAUUUUUCCUACAUUGUGCAACCCUUAUAUGCCUUUCGUCAUUCAUUCCUAUCAGAAUCUCCUAGAGUGCUUAUUUUAAUGCAGAUUCCCAGGCCCAAUGUAGAUCACUGUAUCACAUCUCUGUGAUACAGGAGGCCAUAGUGAAAACACAAAUGAACCUGUUGCCAGCCAUCCAUGAGACCACCACGGAUGCCCCACACAUCGCCAGGGUGAUUUGAGGGCCUCAAGAUGUGAGUUCCUUAGCAUGGUUGGGGGCCAGAGACGCCACAGUUUGAGCUUUGGCAUUAAUGUGCUCUUCCUUUCUGUUGCUUAUCUUAGGUAGGAACCAGUUGACAAGUGUCCUCUCCCAGCACAAGGAACUGACUCUGGGCACUGAGUAUAGAUUUUACUUAAAAAAAUGUACAAUUUUACUUACAGAAAGUUACUCAGCUGGGAUGUUUCACUUCAUCAUUAAGGUUUUCUUGUUUUCUUCCUUCCUUCCCUUCCUUCCUUCCUUCCGUCCUUCCUUCCUUCCUUCUUUCCUCCCCUCUCCCUCCCUCCCUCUCUCUUCUUUCUUUUUCUUUCUUUCUUUCUCUUUCCUUCUUCUUUUUCUUUCUUCUUUCCUUUCUUUCUUCCUUCCUCCCUCCCUCCCUGCUUGCUUGCUUUCUUUCUCUCUCUCUCUUUCUUUCUUUCUUUUUUUUGUAAGAAACAGGGGUCUCUCUCCCCAGGCUGGAGUGAAGUGGCACACAAUCAUAGCUCACUGUGGCCUCAAACUCCUGGACUCAAGAGAUCUUCAUGCAGUCUUCCCAGUAACUGGGAUUACAGGCACGUGCUACUGCACCCAGCUUUCACCGUAUAAGUUAAUUGUUAACUUCACAUAAGUUUUAAUACCUGCAAAAAUUAUGUGACUCUUCCAGAUUCCAAUCUUUUCUAAUUUGCUAAAGCAUACAGCCAUCAGAAGUCAACAUGCAGAGAAGCACUAACACGGAGUCUCUGCAUGUCUUGAUAAAUGUUGCUUUGAUGCAGAAUUCAGUUUGGGCAACUUGUGUAGAAGGAUGGUCAGAAAGUAAUUUUCUGUUUGUUGGGGUGUGUGUCUGUGUGUGUGUGUGUAUGUAUGUAUGUAUGUAUGUAUAUGUAUAUGUGUAUGUAAAGAACACAGGUUCUGCAAUUAGUCCAGUGUUGUUGUUCUGGGAAUUUAAAUGUUUUCAUUCUCAAAGCAGUUCUGCUGAGUAGAAAUUUUCACGUUACCCCAUUAUACAGACUGAAAACCUGAAGCUUGAGUAGUUUGCCCAAGGUCACAUAGCAAGGAAGAUCACAAGGCAAAGGAAGAUCUUGAACCCUCUAAAGUUCACGAUGUUUCCAUUAUGUCAUGCUUGUAAAAAACAUGAAAAGAAAUGUUUAUAAUAAAAGAUAUUAAGUGAUAAAACUUCCUUAACAAUUUUCUCCUUUGCAAUAUCAGAAACCUCCAGCAGGCUGUACCCCUGAAUCAGUUUUCUAAUUGAAGCCAUUAAACAAUGAUUU
rnacentral:lncRNA from 1 species